AAAUGAUGAGAGGAGCCCAAUACUUGGCUUUUUAGGGUUUCACCUCUAUCUCUCUCAUCAGUCCCUCACUCCCUCUCUCUCUCCUCUCCUCUCCUCCCGUCAUUCACCUCUUUCUCUCAUUUCAAACUCAAUCCCUCUCAUUUCGAGGAGCAAUCUGACCGGCGGCUUCAUACACGAGCUCCCAAGCGACGUCGUUUUUGGGCGGAGGUGUAACCGGCGGUGACGGAACUCUUGGUGAUAUCUUUGCCGGCGGUAAGAAGUCCUUCAAUUGUUUUUUCCUCUUCUUGAAUUGAUUUCUGAGCAUCUAAUUCUUUAAAUUCUUGAAUUCUAAUUUGCUUUAUUUUGUAUUUGAUUCAUUUUUGGCAUUUGGGGUGACAUUGGGUAGUUUUGGGCAUUUAUGUAUGAAAACACGGAUGAUACUGCAUUUCCAUGGAUAUAAGGAUGUCAUUUAUCAUGUUAAAUACUCUUAAUUCAUUCCCGUAACCAAUUUCUAUUUUCUGUUUUUUUUUUUCCUGGGUUUCUUAUGUAGUUUUUGUAGAUCUACGCUUGUUUUUUUAAAAUUUGAGGAAUGUAUCUUGUUGGGUUUUUUUUUUCAAAUCACUUUUAAUUGUCUUUUGGUUGUGUUAUUUGAUGUGAUUUUCUUGAGAUUAGUUGAUGGGAUUUUUUGGGUUUUUGAAUUCGGUAUUUGGGAUUUUUUUUGGAGGUGGGAGUUGUCUUAAUUGUCAUUAGUUAUUCCGUUAGAAUUGAUGUUAUGAUUUCGGGUAUGAACUAUUGUAAUUCUUGUUGGAUGUGUUUUGUUUUGGGCAAGUGUUGUGGUAGAAAUAAUGCUUGUUCUUUGUGUUUUCACUUCCUUUGUAAUUCUCACAAGUUAUUUAUUUAUUUUUUUUAAAAUUCUAUGAUUCCUACUGAGUGAAAAUCUGAGUUUGCUGAAGGAGUACUGUCACUGAAUGCAAUCUGUGCAUGGUAAGGCCCAAAAGAGUGAUUUUGAUUUGUUAUCUAGAGGAGCCUAUCUUGUCAUGGGUGGGGAAUUUCAGCGUGCUGCACUGGUGGAAAGAUAACGGCUGUAAGUAUCCUUAGCUAUCAAGGAUGGCUCGCGACUUCCUGGCUAUUCCUAUGUCUGUUGCCACUUCUUAUGACGCGUACUAUACUGAGUAAAGGGGAGUUGAAAGGACAUUGUUAUCUUUGAAACCUAAGUUGGUGAAUGCCUUAAAGUGCACUAGGAGUUGGAAACUCAGCGCUAAUAAGUUAAAUUAAGAAGCUGCUGCUAGUACAACCUCCACGAAUAAAUUGUCAUGGUCAAACUAUGGGAGUAUCCAUUGGAGUUCUUAUUUUGGAAGUAUAAGUAUAAUCUUUUGCUUAUUACAAGUAAUUAAACUUGAUUUAGCUCGUGUUUUGGAGUUGUCCUUUUAAAAAUAUGGCUUGCCAUGAAUCACUAUGAUCAACUUUUCCAUGAAAAAUACUGCAUUGGUGUUAAUUUCUAGUUUACAACUCUAGUUUUAUACAUUCGUUCACUCAAUAGUUCAUGGUAAUGUUUGCCCGUUUCUGUUCAAGCUUACUGUUGGAAUUUUGCUCAAAUUGCUUGCAGUUUUUUAGAGCAGAAAUCAGGAUGACUUGUUAAAUACUUAAAUGGCUUUGGUUAUGGUAAACUCCUAAUUACAAAACAUACAUGUUACAUACUGAAGAAGUGAAAGUGAAGGGUAGAUAUCAUCAUAUUGAGAUCAUAGUGGGCUUAUUAGCUUAAUACAUAUGGGCCUGUUUAAAUAAAAAAUUCAGCUGUCCAAGUAUCCAAUUUAGUAGCUAUGACUAUUAUUAUACAUCGUAUAAGUGUAUAGCCCAUGUUUGAUCGCAUUAUAUGUUACCCAUUGAAUAUUUUCUUGGGCUAACUCUUGAUCAUAAUUUAAUAACACCUUAAUUCAACUAUUCAAGAUAUGUAGUCAUAACAUUUGUUUUAACUAAAUUGAAAAGUUUAAGCUUAAAUAUACUACGUAACUUAAUGUGAAUGUCAACUAAUUUAGUUGGUUUGUGUUUUUCAAGUAUAAUUUUAUUUUUUAAUUCUUCUUUGUGGGUGAAAAAUUUGAUACAUAUGAUUGUAGAUUUAAUUUGCUCUAAUUUCCUUGGGGUUCUCUUUCUCUAGUCUCUAGCCUAUUAUGAAUUUAACUUUACCAAUUUUCAUUUUGUUAGAUUUUUAGUGAAAGAUAAGAGGAAUUUAAGAAAAUUUAAAAUAUUUCAUAGCUAAAUAUGUUCUACCAAGUAAUCAAUUCUUCAUGAAACGGUCACAAAUAUAAAACUGAAAAAUUUAGAUGAAUGUAGUUAAGCUAUUGUGAUUUUGUGAAUAUGAUACUUAAAGAUUGUAUAAAAUCUAGUACAUACAGAUUGAAUAAUGUCAUUGUACUUUGGUCUAAGGCUCUAAGCAACCAAACAAGUUCGUGCUGUAAGAAAAAAAUCUAAUGUCAAUAAUUUAGGUAAUAACAUGUUUGUAUUUAAGCAUUUCGUAUUGAAUUCUUACAAGAUGUGAUGUUUAGUUUCAUACUUGGUGCAUUGGUUAGCUACAAUUAGAAAUUGAUAGGCUCAAAGAGUAUGUCUUUGUGAUGGUUGUUUAACAAUCCAACCAUCCAUUUAUCCCAGGAAAUAAUAUACCCUGUAUUUCUGAAGAUUUUCGUUCGUUUUCCAAAGUCCUAAUCUCCUUUUCAAAUUUUAGUUUGCAUACUCAACAACUGAUUUUGUCCUGCCUUAAAAUUUAUUCUUGUAAUAAAAAAUAUACUCUAGAACUCUUAAACUUGAUCAUGUUUUUUUGUUCUUCUCUGAAGGGAUGCUGGGGAAAAAGAGAAAAUAAAUGAGUGCUGAAGGAUUUAAGCCAAUAUCAUCUUACCUUGGAUUUCCACUCAAUCUUUGGUCACCUCCACAGUGGAUUUUACAAGAUCACACACCUGUCCCUGUGCCCUUAUAGGGUGUUGGCUAAGUGUAGGAAAUAAAAAUAGAUAAGUAAAGGUUUAAGAAUUCAAAGAUGUGAAGCAUGUCACUGAGCAAGCAUUUCAUCUGGAGGCUUUAAGGGUGGAUCGCAACAAUACUCAGAUCACUCACUCAAUAUCAAGGGCUUAUAUAACUUCUUCGAGUCAGCACAACCAAAGUGAUAACUCGACAAUCAUGUUUGAAGGACUUGAAAUACGGUCUACUUUACUUUCGACGUUGCAAAAGGUUGCUGUUGCAGAAGCUACUGUUAUCAUUGUUGCUGCUGCUUAUGGUUGCUGCUGCUCUGCUAUUACUGUUGCUCUAGGAAGCUGUUUAAGCUAUAAUAUUUACAUUUUUUUUACUCAUUAACCUUUUACAAUAUUAUGAGUUUGUAAGCAGUUUUUAAUUGUAAAAUAAAUUUGGUGUGCAUGAUAUGAUUGAUAAUAUAUAUUUGUGUCAUGAAAACAAAUAUUUGGAUUUGGAUCUCA